rnacentral:rRNA from 1 species
UACGUAGGGACCGAGCGUUGUCCGGAAUCAUUGGGCGUAAAGAGCGUGUAGGCGGCUUGCUAAGUCUUGCGUGAAAUCUCGGGGCUCAACCCCGAGCGGUCGUGGGAAACUGGCAGGCUAGAGUGCGGGAGAGGAGAAUGGAAUUCCUGGUGUAGCGGUGAAAUGCGCAGAUAUCAGGAAGAACACCCGUGGCGAAGGCGGUUCUCUGGAACGCAACUGACGCUGAGACGCGAAAGCGUGGGGAGCAAACGGG